rnacentral:rRNA from 1 species
GAGUUUGAUCGUGGCUCAGGAUGAACGCUGGCGGCGUGCCUAACACAUGCAAGUCGAGCGAAGCACUUAAAAUGGAUUCUUCGGAUGAAGCUUUAUGUGACUGAGCGGCGGACGGGUGAGUAACGCGUGGGCAACCUGCCUUACACAGGGGGAUAACAGUUAGAAAUGACUGCUAAUACCGCAUAAGACCACAGGGCUGCAUGGCCUGGUGGUAAAAACUCCGGUGGUGUAAGAUGGGCCCGCGUCUGAUUAGGUAGUUGGCGGGUAACGGCCCACCAAGCCGACGAUCAGUAGCCGACCUGAGAGGGUGACCGGCCACAUUGGGGACUGAGACGCGGCCCAGACUCCUACGGGAGGCAGCAGUUGGGGAAUAUUGGCACAAUGGGGGAAACCCUGAUGCAGCGACGCCGCGUGAGUGAUGAAGUAUUUCGGUAUGUAAAGCUCUAUCAGCAGGGAAGUAAAAUGACGGUACCUGACUAAGAAGCCCCGGCUAACUACGUGCCAGCAGCCGUCCGU